rnacentral:snoRNA from 1 species
GAGACUAUACUUUCAAGGGUCUUUUCUAUAGUUGGUUACUCGAGAAGUUUCUCUGAGAGUGUCGAGCACCAGAAACCACGAGGAGGAAGUGCAGUGUUCUCUCCUGAGCGUAAAGCCGGCUCUUGGUGUUGCUUUGCAACUGCCAUUUGCCACUGGUGAUGGUUCUUGUCUUCCUCUGGGAGAGCAAGAGAGAGAGGACACAGUCUGAGUGGU